CGAAAUGCAAUAAAAACACCCGGGAUAACGAGAAGCCAUCCCUCUCCCUUAAGUCUUUCAACCCCAACUUGCCGCCGCUUCGAUCUUGCCCUCCCUGCAAACCCUACCAAAAAUCUUUCAACACCGCCGUUGACGGCGGCUCCGAUACCUCAAUAUCCUCUCCGUUACCCCAUUCCUUCUCGCAACAACUGCGAAUUCCAGAAAUGGCGUCAGGCACGGCUACUUCUGACGUCACUGAUGGACCAGUGCUCACUCUUAUCAACAAACGCAUCCGUAACCUAAGGAAAAAGCUCAACCGAAUCGCGCAGCUCGAAGAU
rnacentral:lncRNA from 1 species